UUGGUUAAGUUAGAAAGGGCGCACGGUGGAUGCCUUGGCACUAGGAGCCGAAGAAGGACGGGACUAACACCGAUAUGCUUUGGGGAGCUGUACGUAAGCGUUGAUCCAGAGAUUUCCGAAUGGGGGAACCCACUAUCUUUAGUCGGAUAGUAUCCUUACGUGAAUACAUAGCGUGAGGAAGGCAGACCCAGGGAACUGAAACAUCUAAGUACCUGGAGGAAGAGAAAGAAAAAUCGAUUUCCUGAGUAGCGGCGAGCGAAACGGAAAGAGCCCAAACCAAGAAGCUUGCUUCUUGGGGUUGUAGGACACUCUAUACGGAGUUACAAAAGAAAGUUAUAAAUGAAGCGGUCUGGAAAGGCCCGCCAAAGACGGUAACAGCCCGGUAGUUGAAAUGGCUUUCCCUCCAGAGUGGAUCCUGAGUACGGCGGAACACGUGAAAUUCCGUCGGAAUCCGGGAGGACCAUCUCCCAAGGCUAAAUACUCCCUAGUGACCGAUAGUGAACCAGUACCGUGAGGGAAAGGUGAAAAGCACCCCGGAAGGGGAGUGAAACAGUUCCUGAAACCGUGUGCCUACAAGUAGUUAGAGCCCGUUAAUGGGUGAUAGCGUGCCUUUUGUAGAAUGAACCGGCGAGUUACGAUUUGUUGCAAGGUUAAGCGGAAAAAGCGGAGCCGUAGCGAAAGCGAGUCUGAAUAGGGCGCAUAAGUAACAGGUCGUAGACCCGAAACCAGGUGAUCUACCCAUGUCCAGGAUGAAGGUAAGGUAAUACUUACUGGAGGUCCGAACCCACGCACGUUGAAAAGUGCGGGGAUGAGGUGUGGGUAGCGGAGAAAUUCCAAUCGAACUUGGAGAUAGCUGGUUCUCUCCGAAAUAGCUUUAGGGCUAGCCUCGAGGUAAAGAGUCAUG
rnacentral:rRNA from 1 species